GGUCACUAAUUGCCUCCUUGUUGACAGUGCCAGGAGACAAAACCCAGGACCCGAACGUCGAGCGAUUCGCUAAAGGGCUGAGAUGGACGGCUGUCACCGUCCAGUGUGCUCUCGAGGGGAUAAGGAGUGCGAGGCUGCGGUGUCUUACCUUCCCACAGCUGGACAACGAGGUGCACACAGGAAGUGCUCCCGACACUGCGAGGAAGCACAGCCCCGCACAGGUGUGAUGCACGUGGAUAAGCCAGCGUGGAGCCGGGUCUUCUGCGGGUCUGGGUCUAACCUCCACAGGACACGUGAAUAUUCAACAACUACUUAAAAGGAAGUCCGGUUGCCUUGUUGGGCCAGGAACCAAGUGGGUUCCUGCUCAGGCCAGUUUCCUGCUCUUUCCACCAAACCAGUGGAAGUAAUCCAAGUAUGAACUGCACUAUUUGUGCAUUUCCAGGGCUCUGAAAGUAAUGGCUGUGCAAAGCAAUGAAAAGCACACCCCUGCAGCACUCUGCUGUAAGAUAAACGGAUGCUCCCUUCUACAAAGUACAAAAUACCACCAACUCAAAAACUUAGCACAGGACAUGCUUCUCACAGGGACUGCCUUUUCCUGGGUGGGUGGGUGGGACACAUGUCCCACUGACAAUCG
rnacentral:lncRNA from 1 species